UACGUAGGGUGCAAGCGUUAAUCGGAAUUACUGGGCGUAAAGCGUGCGCAGGCGGUGAUGUAAGACAGGUGUGAAAUCCCCGGGCUUAACCUGGGAACUGCAUUUGUGACUGCAUGGCUAGAGUACGGUAGAGGGGGAUGGAAUUCCGCGUGUAGCAGUGAAAUGCGUAGAGAUGCGGAGGAACACCGAUGGCGAAGGCAGCCCCCUGGGCUGACACUGACGCUCAGGCACGAAAGCGUGGGGAGCAAACAGG
rnacentral:rRNA from 1 species